GACAUGAACCCCCUAAAGCCCCAGAACUAUCUUUUUGGUUAUGAGCUAAACACUGACAAAGUUUCUCACUUUAAUGUGAAUAAUGAUGAAAAAACUACAGUUAUCUUUAAGAAUAGUCACUUUAGGGGCUGAUACAUAGGAUGAAUCGCACAUUGCUGAAGCAGAGGCAAUGAAUUACAAAGGUGGUCCGAUUGAAAUAACACUGGCACUUUGAAAAUGUCUAUACAGCCAGUGGUUUCCCUUAGGGGCUUUGAAAUACCACCACCCGUGGUCUUAUGGUUGAAGCGUGGUUCAGGGCCAGGGCAUAUUAGUGGACAGCACUUAGUAGCUGUGGAGGAAGAGGCAGAGUGAGAAGAUGAAGAGGAGGAGAAUAUGAAGCUCUUAAGUAUACCUGGAAAGCAAUCCGCCCCUAGAAAUGGUAGUGAGGUUCCACAGAAAAAAAGGAAAACAUGCUGCUGAUGAAGAUGAUAAUAAUAGAGAUGAUGAAGAUGAAGAUGAUGAUUUUAAUUAUGAUGAAACUGAAAAAAUACCUCCAGUGAAGAAGUCUAUAUGAGAUACUUCAGCCAAAAAUGCACAAACAUCUAACCAGAAGGAAGAAGACUCAACACCAUCAGCACCAACAUCAGAAGGUCAAGAAUCACUCAAAAAAAAAAAAAAGGGAAAAAAAAAACUAAAACACCAAAAGGACCUUGUUCUGUGGAAGAAGACAUUAGAGCAAAAAUGCAAGCAACUGUAGAAAAAGAGACUUCUCUUCCCAAAGUGGAAGCCAAAUUUAUCAAUCACGUGAAGGACUGCUUCUGGAUGACCGACCAGGAAGCUGUUCAAGGUCUCUGGCAGUAGAUGAAGUCUCUUUAA
rnacentral:lncRNA from 1 species